rnacentral:rRNA from 1 species
GACGGGGCCCGCACAAGCGGAGGAGCAUGUGGUUUAAUUCGAUGAUACGCGAGGAACCUUACCUGGGCUCGAACGUAAGAUGACUGUAGGUGAAAGCUUACAUCUCUUCGGAGCAUUUUACGAGGUGCUGCAUGGUUGUCGUCAGCUCGUGCCGUGAGGUGUCGGGUUAAGUCCCAUAACGAGCGCAACCCUACCUUUAGUUGCCAUCAGGUAAUGCUGGGGACUCUAAAGGAACUGCCUACGCAAGUAGUGAGGAAGGCGGGGAUGACGUCAAAUCAGCACGGCCCUUACGUCCAGGGCUACACACGUGCUACAAUGGCCGAUACAGAGGGCAGCUACCUGGUGACAGGAUGCAAAUCUCCAAAGUCGGUCUCAGUUCGGAUCGGAGUCUGCAACUCGACUGCGUGAAGUCGGAAUCGCUAGUAAUCGUGAAUCAGAAUGUCACGGUGAAUACGUUCCCGGGCCUU